GGGCCCGCACAAGCGGUGGAGCAUGUGGUUUAAUUCGAUGAUACGCGAGGAACCUUACCAGGGCUUAAAUGUAAGUUGCAUAGAUCAGAGAUGGUCUUUUCUUCGGACUACUUACAAGGUGCUGCAUGGUUGUCGUCAGCUCGUGCCGUGAGGUGUCAGGUUAAGUCCUAUAACGAGCGCAACCCCUGUCGUUAGUUACCAGCAAGUAAUGUUGGGUACUCUAGCGAGACUGCCGGUGCAAACCGUGAGGAAGGUGGGGAUGACGUCAAAUCAUCACGGCCCUUACGUCCUGGCUACACACGUGCUACAAUGGCCGGUACAGAGAGCAGCAAGUUCGCGAGGACAAG
rnacentral:rRNA from 1 species